UGGGGAAUAUUGGGCAAUGGGGGCAACCCUGACCCAGCGACGCCGCGUGAGGGAAGAAGGCCUUAGGGUCGUAAACCUCUGUUGUGUGGGAAGAAGGAAGUGACGGUACCACACGAGGAAGUCCCGGCUAACUACGUGCCAGCAGCCGCGGUAAUACGUAGGGGACGAGCGUUGUCCGGAAUUACUGGGCGUAAAGGGCGCGUAGGCGGUCAUUUAAGUCAGCUGUGAAAUGGUCCGGCUCAACCGGAUCAUGCGGUUGAAACUGGAUGACUGGAGUGCUGGAGAGGCAAGUGGAAUUCCCAGUGUAGCGGUGAAAUGCGUAGAUAUUGGGAAGAACACCGGUGGCGAAGGCGACUUGCUGGCCAGCAACUGACGCUGAGGCGCGAAAGCCAGGGGAGCAAACGG
rnacentral:rRNA from 1 species